CCUACGGGAGGCAGCAGUAGGGAAUCUUCCACAAUGGGCGCAAGCCUGAUGGAGCAACACCGCGUGAGUGAAGACGGGUUUCGGCGCGUAAAGCUCUGUUGUUGGAGAAGUAAGUGCGUGAGAGUAACUGUUCACGCAGUGACGGUAUCCAACCAGAAAGUCACGGCUAACUCCGUGCCAGCAGCCGCGGUAAUACGUCGGUGGCAAGCGUUAUCUGGAUUUAUUUGGCGUAAGGCGAGCGCAGGCGGUUGCUUAGGUCUGAUGUGAAAGCCUUCGGCUUAACCGAAGAAGUGCAUCGGAAACCGGGCGACUUGAGUGCAGAAGAGGACGGUGGAACUCGAGGUGUAGCGGUGGAAUGCGUAGAUAUAUGGAAGAACACCAGUGGCGAAGGCAGCUGACUGGUCUGCAACUGACGCUGAGGCUCGAAAGCAUGGGUAGCGAACAGGAUUAGAUACCCGAGUAGUC
rnacentral:rRNA from 1 species